rnacentral:rRNA from 1 species
CCUACGGGAGGCAGCAGUGGGGAAUAUUGCACAAUGGGGGAUACCCUGAUGCAGCGACGCAGCGUGAGUGAUGAAUUCUUUCGGUGUGUUAAGCUCUUUCAGCAGGGAAGAAAAUUACGGUAUCUGUACUACAAUCCCUGUCUAACUACGUGCAAGCAGCCGCGGUAAUACGCAGGGGGCAAGCGUUAUCCGGAUUUACUGGGUGUAAGGGGAGCGUAGUCGGCUGCACAGGUCAGGAGUGAAAUUCUGCGGCUUAACCGCGGAAUUGCAUUGGAUACUGUGCAGCUAGAGUGCAGGAGAGGUAAGUGGAAUUCGUGGUGUAGCGGUGAAAGGCGUAGAUAUUAGGAGGAACACCAGUGGCGAAGGCAGCUUGCUGGACUGUAACUGACGUUGAGGCUCGAAAGCGUGGGGAGCAAACAGGAUUAGAUACCCCAGUAGUC